UCCUUCAUGUCACAACCAUUUUGAGUGAUUCAACUUGCAUUCAAUCCAGCAUUCAAAGAUCUUUCAUAUGCAUAGCAGGGCAUGGAGAAAGAAGGUACUCGAAAACUUACUUGUUUUUGAAGCAAGUUGUGAAACAGUGAUGUUUUUGAUGAUAGGAGUGCAAACAGCUGACCCUUGUGCUUGGCAAUGAAGGAUACUUGGUGUAG
rnacentral:lncRNA from 1 species